rnacentral:tRNA from 1 species
GCGGCCGUAGCUCAGUUGGAUAGAGCGAGCGCCUCCUAAGCGCUAGGUCGACGGUUCAACUCCGUCCGGUCGCG